rnacentral:tRNA from 1 species
UCCCUGCUGGCUCAGACAGUAAAGAAUCUGCCUGCAAUGCAGUAGACCUGGGUUUGAUUCCUCGGUUGGGAA